GAGCAAGUACACAAAAUAUAAACCUAAACCUAUACGAUAUAGGUAAAGCCGAAAAAUCCAAAUGGGAGGGGGAUAUACACUCUGCAAAAAUACAGAGCGUAGCUUUUCACAAAAAACCCCACCCCCGGACCACAUCUUCAUCACACACCCCACCCCAUGGAUUCACCUUCUUCUUAAAGAAGCAGACCCUAGAGACCCUAGCUGUUAGCCGUUGAACACCAUAGCACCCUCGAUCUUGAGCUUCUUCUCCAGCCAUUUCUGAUCGAACGACCCUUUCUCAUCUCUUCACGCCGGCGACCACCCUAUUACGACCAUUUCCACCAAACAAUCAGCCACCCAUUUUUCAGAAAAAAACAACAAAUCAAUUAGACUUGAAAACUAAGAAAAAGUCUCUAAAAAUCCUUAUUUCCAAGAAGUUUUUGAAGUCGAAAUUUGCUGCUCGAUUGUUGAGGUUUCGAAACGGUGCGAUUUCAGUCGAGGUUCGUUCGAGGUUAUUUUCAUGAUCUAAGGAUCCAUCUCUUGCUGUUGUUAAUGAAGAUUUGAUGUUAAUUUGAGUGUUAGAGAUUACUGGAAUUCAACCUUCUUCACAUUCAAUUCGACCUUAAUUAAUCUUCUGAUUUUGGUUAUCCAUCUUUGACUUCAGUUUUUUUAUUUAAGUUUAAUGUAGUUCGAAAAUUAAAAAAAAGAUAUUAAAUCCUAUUUUGACUUUUGUUCGUGGAAAUUGAUUGAGAGGUUGUUUGAGUUCGGAGUUUCGACCGUUCCGAUUGAGUAUACAUUUUGGAUGUGUCGUUAUUCCCAGUUUUCUUCCACUUUGUUAAAAGAAUUUAAGCUGCACAGAAUCGGAAGGAACAUGAGGUGCUUGGAUUUCUGUUUGGCCAUAUUAACAUGGUAGAUUGAGGCGAGGUUAUUUUCGAUCCUGAAAUAUAUGUUUGACGAUUAUUUCAGGUUCUCGUCCCUCUAUAUCUCUUGCUCCGUUUUGGUGUGAUUCAAUGAACGUCUUGACGCUUGGCUGAUUGAAAUUGUGUGAAAUGCCUUUGAUGUAUUCGCAAGUUCUGUGUUCUUGAUUUGUUUCUUUCCAUCCUUAUAAAUUGGUAAUUGCCGGAGUAUUUCAUCACAUUCGAUUGUCAAGAUGUUGAGCUAGUGUAGGUGAAAUGAGAGGAGUAGAAAUCUGGAAGGAUUAUUGAUGCAAAGUAAAUGUCAUUGUAGUUUCACCUUUUAAUCUAUUGAUCUUGUUAGCAUCCAAUUUCACUACUGUUUGUUCGGUUAAGUACGUA
rnacentral:lncRNA from 1 species